CCAAUUUAUAUUUCAAUUAAAAAUCUGUUGGAAGAUGGUCUGCUGUCAGACAGAUUAAAAUCACGAAUUUAGAUGCAUUACAAGCAUCCACCUAGCUGCUUUGUAGACCUUUCUAUAAAAUCCUCCGGAAUCUCAAAUUAAUUUCUAUCCCGCGAAUGGGCAAAUUCUGCAUUUCUGCCUUACGAGAGAUUUCGACAUGGAGGAAAUCGAACAACAUACUUAAUUUUUAUGGACGGCAUUGGCAUUUUGUUUCGUAUAAAAACAAGAUGCAAUAAAACAAAUGCGUGGAAAGAAACACAGAUAUUAAUAAGCUGCACUUGCCAUCAGACUCGAAGAAAAUUUGAGCACAAGAUUGAUGUCUCUGACGCCCUAAAUGGAUAGAUACGGUCACUGGAUGUGGUAAUCAUGGGGUGGGGGGGUGGGGGGGGGGCACCCCGCAAAACAAUUUCCGAAAGCUGGUAACCAAAUAAGCUGCAACAAUAAUUUGUAUGAGUAUGAGAACAUUUGUAGGCUAUAAAUGAAGAAAAUAAACGAAUGGUAAUAUGGAAUAAAACGAAGCAAAUAAACGAAUGGUAAUAUGGUGGCAACUAACUUUCAGGGGCGGCGCUACAGGGGGGGUGUGGGGGGGUGUUCCACCCCCCCACUCGUCAGCUAAUCGGCAAAUUGUUGUCUCAGUCGGCAAAACUGGAUUGGGCAGUCGGG